rnacentral:lncRNA from 1 species
UCCAGUUCCUUGUAAAGAGCAUUUACGUAUCUCCGAUCAUGUUCAACUUGUCGUUUCAACCUAUCAACAGUACUUUCACCCUCAAUUUCACUGACGCUCAAUCCAUCUACUGAUUCAUUACCAGAAUCAUCUCUACCCAUGAAGGUAGAUGUUUGAAGCAUAUGUACCCCGUCAGACCUAGAAGCAUCACUUCUUUGGUGUUCAUCACCAUGAUCAUGAUUCCUAAGACUUGCAAUUUGCAAUUCAUCCAUUCCAGAAGUAGAAAGUUGGGGAAGCGACUUCAUACCUUCUCCAGCGUUUGCAGAAUCACCUCUCCCCAUAAAGGUAGAUGUGUGAAGCAUAUGUACCCCGUCAGAGCUAGAAGCAUCACUUCUUUGGUGGUUAUCACCGUGAUGAUUCCUAAGACUUGCAGUUUGCAAUUCAUCCUUCCCAGAAGUAGAAAGUUG